AAAUAGAGAAUAGAUAAACGUCUGAGUCAGUAGUCCAUUUUGCGUCGCGCGAAAUAAUCAAAAAGAAAAAUUCACUAGCAGAAGCUAGCGUAAAUUUAUUUUUUCAACAGAUUCCCGAAUCAUCGUUGUUUCUAUGUUUUAUUCGAAAGAAAGUGUUUCUCAAUCUUUCGAAAUUGCUAGAUAAAUCGAGUAGCGAACGAUGUUAAAGAAUAACGUAAAAAAAUUAAGAAACAUACGACUUAUGUUUUACUUGAGAAAAGCGCGGGUUGAGUCAAGUUUGAGAGACACUGUUAUAGGCGUAUUUAACAUGGCAACUUAGCUCGACUUAGCUUGGCAACUUGUUCGGUGCCGUUCGGUGUCAAACCUAACUUGUUCGUAUUCCUGCCACUUCGUCUAGUAUUUCUUACUAGUACUAUUUUAUUGUAUUGUAUUGAUUUUUUUUUAUCGCUAAUUAGUUAUGAAGAGGGUAAUCCUUUUUUUAAUUGGAACCGACGUGAACGGCAAGGUAUUUAUGGUGACUCAUUCAUUGGACGAAUUACUAGCAGCUGCUAGCUCAAAGUUUCAAAUAACUGCCAAAAGAAUAUUUACCCCUCAAGGUGGAGAAAUUGAUGAUAUUAAGUUAAUUCGAGAUGACGAUAUAUUGUACAUUUCGGAUGGAGAAGAUUUCAUUCCAAAGGAUAAGAUUAACAGUCGCAAUCAGUUGAGUAGAAAUUUAGAAUGGAUUACGUUAAAUGUUGGUGGAAAGUAUUUCACAACAACCAGAGACACAUUAACAAAAACAGAACCAACAAGUAUGCUGGCCAGAAUGUUUACGGAAUCUACAGAUAAUGAACAGAGAAUCUUGCCUAGCAGACAAGAUGAAAUGGGCGCAUUUUUGAUAGACAGGAGUCCUACAUAUUUUGAGCCACUAUUAAACUAUUUAAGACAUGGGCAGAUGACCCUUGAUGCUAAUGUUAAUCCUUCUGGGGUUUUGGCAGAAGCGCGUUUUUAUGGAAUAGAAGGGGCUAUUGAGUUACUGAUUCCAAUGAUCGAAGAUUUUCACAAAAGUAGCUCUGUAUCUUUAACUCGAAAAGAUGUACUUAAAGUCAUCAUGUCAACGCCUAUGACUACAGAACUUAGGUUUCAAGGUGUUGAUUUUACUGGUGCUGAUUUGUCAAAGUUAGAUCUCAGGCAUAUUAAUUUUAAGUAUGCAAUUAUGCGCGGUUGCAGUUUGGCGGGUGCAAAUUUAUCAGGCUGUUGCUUUGAACGCGCGGAUUUAUCCAACGCAAAUCUGCAGGGUGCUCAGCUUGUUUGUGUGAAAAUGUUACGCGCGAAUCUUACUGCUGCCAAUCUUCAUUCGUGUAAUUUUGAGGACCCUUGCGGUUUACCUGCCAACAUGGAGGGUGCAAAUUUAAAAGGUGCCAAUCUCGAGGGUAGUUACAUGGGUGCCGUAAAUCUUAGAGUGGCAACGUUAAAGAAUGCCAACCUAAGAAAUUGUUAUCUUAGAUCAGCUGUUCUAGCUGGUGCUGAUUUAGAGUGCUGUGAUUUAUCAGGAUCUGACUUACAAGAAGCGAAUUUGCGGGGCGCAAACUUGAAAGAUGCUGCGUUCGAAUUAAUGUUAACUCCGUUACAUAUGUCUCAAACGAUACGAUAAUAAUUAAUGCAAUGCCCCGCGUGUUCUGCGGCGGUUUAGCCUCUGUGAUCUAGACGAUAUGAAAGUACAGACUGAGAAUUAUAUUGUAAUUGCUACGCUAGAAAGUGUAAAAUUGAGUUUGUAUUUAUUUAGAGGAAUAUAUCAGUCAUCAAUUUUUACUUCCAUUACGAUAUCGAGCCAAAUGAUAAUGAAAGAGAUAACGAAAAGUUGUAAUAAUUAACGAGGAUAGUUGGUUACGAAUAAUUUGAUACUUUAUAUUUUUUAAAGUAUAUAUCGCGUACAUGUAAAUUUAAUGCACGUUAAUGUAAAUUAUUAUAUGUAUAGUUCUUUAUCUGUAUAAAGUACAAAAUAUCUCAUUUUCUUUGUUAUACAAUCGAUCAGUUUAUAUGAUUGUGUCCAGUGUGAAUAAUUUAUUAUCAAUGAUGAAAUGUAGUUUCAUGAUUGCAUAUAUUUUACUUUUUAAAUAAAAAUAUAAUAUAAAUAGCGAGGUAUACCUAAUAAGUUUAGAGAACUCGAAGAGCCAAAAUCUUUUGCUUUUCUAUUACUAUAAAAAUAAUUAAUAACUUGAAAGCUUUGUAUACGCAUAUAAACUUAUACACAAAACUGCGUGCUUAGAAGAUAUUUAGCUCGUGUCAUGUUUAUCACAAGCCACACCUCGUAUACAAUGUCUCAAGAAGAGUUGAGCAAAUUUUACUCGGCAUAAUAAAUAACGAUUUUACCAUUUUUACAAGCGCUUAAUUUCCUGUACAACACUAGACUUCUGAUGUAUAUACUGGUAUAAGAUAUGUAUUAUUUUUUAGACACGAUUGCGACUUACAAAUACGAACGGUUUACAAAGUUACAUUUUGUAUGUAUACAAUUAUUCGAAGAUUUAGUUUGAAUAAAUAUUAUGUACAAAACAUUUAUCGACAAGCACUAAUUUUCGUUGUCUUUUCCAUCUCAUUACCUAACCUAGAAUUCAACUUGUGAUCGAUACUGUUCGC